rnacentral:misc_RNA from 1 species
GAUGAAGAACGCAGCGAAAUGCGAUAAGUAAUACGAAUUGCAGAAUUCCGUGAGUCAUCGAAUCUUUGAACGCACAUUGCGCCCUUUGGCAUUCCGAAGGGCAUGCCUGUUCGAGCGUCAUUUAUCAACCCUCAAGCCCGGCUUGCGGUUGGGUCCCGCCGUGGGCGACCACGGCGGACCCGAAAGGUAAUGGCGGUGCCCGUGGGGCCCUGGACGCAGCGAGCUUCUCGGCACGCGUCCCGGCGGUCCCCGGCGCCGUCUCCACCAAUCCACCACGCAGAUUGACCUCGGAUCAGGUAGGGAUACCCGCUGAACUUAAGCAUAUCAAUAAGCGGAGGA